rnacentral:rRNA from 1 species
AUUGAACGCUGGCGGCAUGCCUUACACAUGCAAGUCGAACGGCAGCACGGACUUCGGUCUGGUGGCGAGUGGCGAACGGGUGAGUAAUGUAUCGGAACGUACCUUUCAGUGGGGGAUAACGUAGCGAAAGUUACGCUAAUACCGCAUAUUCUGUGAGCAGGAAAGCAGGGGAUCGCAAGACCUUGCGCUGAUUGGGCGGCCGAUAUCAGAUUAGCUAGUUGGUGGGGUAAAGGCCUACCAAGGCUACGAUCUGUAGCGGGUCUGAGAGGAUGAUCCGCCACACUGGAACUGAGACACGGUCCAGACUCCUACGGGAGGCAGCAGUGGGGAAUUUUGGACAAUGGGGGCAACCCUGAUCCAGCCAUGCCGCGUGAGUGAAGAAGGCCUUCGGGUUGUAAAGCUCUUUCGGCCGGGAAGAAAUCGCAUAGGCUAAUACCCUGUGUGGAUGACGGUACCGGAAUAAGAAGCACCGGCUAACUACGUG